rnacentral:rRNA from 1 species
AACGAACGCUGGCGGCAUGCCUAACACAUGCAAGUCGAACGAGAUCUUCGGGUCUAGUGGCGCACGGGUGCGUAACGCGUGGGAAUCUGCCCUUUGGUUCGGAAUAACAGUUGGAAACGCCUGCUAAUACCGGAUGAUGACGAAAGUCCAAAGAUUUAUCGCCAGAGGAUGAGCCCGCGUAGGAUUAGCUAGUUGGUGUGGUAAAGGCGCACCAAGGCGACGAUCCUUAGCUGGUCUGAGAGGAUGAUCAGCAACACUGGGACUGAGACACGGCCCAGACUCCUACGGGAUGCAGCAGUGGGGAAUAUUGGACAAUGGGCGAGAGCCUGAUCCAGCAAUGCCGCGUGAGUGAUGAAGGCCUUAGGGUUGUAAAGCUCUUUUACCCGGGAUGAUAAUGACAGUACCGGGAGAAUAAGCUCCGGCUAACUCCGUGCCAGCCGCCGCGGUAA